UGAGAUGUCACUAGCAGAAAAAGGGA
rnacentral:piRNA from 1 species